UAUAUAUUUAGACCAAAUGUCUAAUAAACCGGAGACCUCUUAUAGUCUCAAUAUAAACCGGAGACCUCUCAUGGUCUCAAUAUAACUAGAGUCCUUACACCUUUCCUAUCUACUGGAUACAGACUUACUGAACCAAAGGGGGGUCAUAGACAAUCAGCGUCAAUAAGACACAAAAAGGCUACUCACCGCAAAUGGUUUUGCUGAUCCAUCCAUCCCACUUCUAGACACCAAGCUGAAAGGGUUAAUGCUGUAAUGGACUCUAAUCCCCUCGGUUCUCGAUCCCUCGGUCACCAUAAUCAA